rnacentral:rRNA from 1 species
GCCGAGAGCGGGGUGCGGAAACCCUAAGCAGAGUGGGGAAAGGCGUCUUCGUACUCGCCUCUCUCCGCGCAACCGAGCCUUCGCCCUCGUCCUCCCCAUUUCGCCAGCGGCGCAGCCCACCAACCACCCCCACCCGCCGCCAUGAGGGAGUGCAUCUCGAUCCACAUCGGCCAGGCCGGCAUCCAGGUCGGGAACGCGUGCUGGGAGCUCUACUGCCUCGAGCAUGGCAUUCAGCCUGAUGGCCAGAUGCCCGGUGACAAGACCGUUGGGGGAGGUGAUGAUGCUUUCAACACCUUCUUCAGCGAGACUGGUGCUGGGAAGCACGUCCCCCGUGCUGUCUUCGUAGAUCUCGAGCCCACUGUGAUUGAUGAGGUGAGGACUGGCGCUUACCGCCAGCUCUUCCACCCUGAGCAGCUUAUCAGUGGCAAGGAGGAUGCAGCCAACAACUUCGCCCGUGGUCAUUACACCAUUGGCAAGGAGAUUGUUGAUCUCUGCCUUGAUCGUAUCAGGAAGCUUUCAGACAACUGCACUGGUCUGCAGGGAUUCCUUGUCUUCAACGCUGUUGGAGGUGGAACUGGCUCUGGCCUUGGUUCGCUUCUCCUGGAGCGUCUCUCUGUUGACUAUGGAAAGAAGUCCAAGCUUGGGUUCACAGUUUACCCAUCUCCCCAGGUCUCCACUUCUGUUGUUGAGCCAUACAACAGUGUCCUGUCCACCCACUCACUCCUUGAGCACACCGAUGUCUCUAUCCUUCUUGACAAUGAGGCCAUCUAUGACAUCUGCCGCCGCUCCCUUGACAUUGAGCGCCCAACAUACACCAACCUCAACAGGCUUGUUUCUCAGGUCAUUUCAUCAUUGACUGCUUCCCUGAGGUUUGAUGGUGCUCUGAAUGUUGAUGUCAACGAGUUCCAGACCAACCUGGUGCCCUACCCGAGGAUCCACUUCAUGCUUUCCUCCUAUGCCCCAGUGAUCUCAGCCGAGAAGGCCUACCAUGAGCAGCUGUCUGUUGCUGAGAUCACCAACAGCGCCUUUGAGCCUUCCUCCAUGAUGGCCAAGUGUGACCCCCGCCACGGCAAGUACAUGGCCUGCUGCCUCAUGUACCGUGGUGAUGUUGUGCCCAAGGAUGUCAACGCUGCUGUGGCCACCAUCAAGACCAAGCGCACUAUCCAGUUUGUUGACUGGUGCCCCACUGGCUUCAAGUGUGGUAUCAACUACCAGCCACCUGGUGUUGUCCCAGGCGGUGACCUUGCCAAGGUCCAGAGGGCUGUGUGCAUGAUCUCCAACUCCACCAGUGUCGUCGAGGUCUUCUCCCGCAUCGACCACAAGUUUGACCUGAUGUACGCCAAGCGCGCCUUCGUCCACUGGUACGUGGGUGAGGGCAUGGAGGAGGGAGAGUUCUCUGAGGCCCGUGAGGAUCUUGCUGCCCUGGAGAAGGACUAUGAAGAAGUUGGUGCUGAGUUUGACGAGGGUGAGGACGGUGACGAGGGCGACGAGUACUAGAGCCUGCCUCCUGGUGCUUUCCCAAGGCAUGCUGCUGCAAUCCUAUGAUCUGCCCGAGUGGCUUUAUCUGUUAUCUGUCUGUUUGAACAUUUGCUUUGUGGUGUUUGUUUUACAACCUGUUGUGUUGUAAGAACCUUGUAUGUUUGAACCUGUUAUGCACCUUGGUUAAUAUGCAUGCUAUCUGGUUAUCUACACCAUAGCCUCUACUGCUCUGUCUCCAUUUUUCUGUUUUAUAAUUUGUGUUGUUGACUUUGUGUUUUUGUUGGUGGCGUUGCCUGGAUGCCUGCUUUAUUCGUGGACUGGAACAAUUAGUUGCAAUUCGUCCGCAUAGAACCGUAGCUGUUCUUAAUGAAGAUCCAAACCUAAUUUGUUCUGUUGUUCCUUGCAGUCAAGUGCUACAGGAGUUGCAACUUGGAAUUGAGAAAUGUUUGCCUGAAAUUUCUCCCAAGAUAAUCACUGACCUAAUUUGAUCUUCUUGUGGUCAUGUGGAAUUCAGGGAAUGUUUGUUGCGUUUGCUAACUAGAGGCCUAAAAUUUAUUCUCCUAUAAACCACGAUUAAAAGAUUCAGUAGUAGCGACAAGCUUAAAAAGCAGCAAGUAUAAAUCACAGGCAAGAAAUAUAUAAAACCUAUAUAAAUUUGUAAGU